AAUCACCGCCCGCUGCUUCGAGAACUACCGCAGCUAUUCGAGGACCCGAGCGAGGGGCCACCAUCCCAGGUACAGCUGCCGCUUGAACAACUCCAUCUUCCUUACCGAGUACGGCGCCAACUACUCGUGGAGGUGGAGGAACGGCCGCCGCGCGUCGCGCAGCGUCAUGAGCUCCAACCACAGCGCCUACUCCAGGAAGAGGGGCUGCCGGUGGUCGUAGCCCCCGUCCCCUUGCCUGAGGUCGCCGCCGCGCAAGCCCGGGUAGCCCGUGCACAUGCCCACCAGGAACCAUCGCGGGAGGCCGUCGCGGUACCGGUACUUGAACAGGUCGUACAGGUCGCACUUCUUGUGGCUCAGGCCGCAGAGGAGGUCGAGGCUGAACGAGGCGCACCGCGCGUACUUGGGGCCCACCUAGCCCUGCGGCGGGCGCUGCGCCUCCCCGCGGGUCCGCAGGCGCGGCAGGAGCGGUUGCGCGCGCCGGUGCUCCACCUGCUCCAACGGCGGCCUCGACAGGGGCUGCUCCUUCUGGGCCCUGUACAGGCGCCGGAGCGCCUCCUCGAGCCGGCGCCCGAGCAGCUCUCGCGGAAGCAGCCUGUGCCGCUAACUGGCGUCGGCCGCCUCGUGCAGCUGUGGCCACAGCUCGACCCGCCCGUACGCCACGAGACCCCGAUUCCCAUCGAGCCGCCACUGCUGGUGCCGCCCUUCCCGCGUCCGAUCCGCGCGCAUCUUCACCACCAUGUCCUGGGUCCUGCCCACCCUCUACGUCUUCGGCGGCGGCACCUCGACGUGCUACUGCCCCUCCGCCGGCCGCGACGGGCGCAGCUGGAGCCCCUCCAUGUGGGCCUCCGAACCGAGGGGGAGGGGCCCCUCCAGCACCUCGCACACCGGCAGCGCCCCGUGCCGCAUCCCGACGUGGCCGAGGUACUCGCCGUCCCGGAGGCCGCCCGGGCAGGUGCACGCCAGCUACGACGGCAGCAGGUAGUGCGCGUUGGUCGGCCUGUGGAGCAGGUGGUGGAAUGCCGGCGAGCCGCCGCGGCGCCACCAGCGGACCACGACGCUCCGCCGCCGCCCCCGGUAGCCAGCAGCGACACAACCUCAUACAAUGUGCGAGAUGCCACGCCCAGCGCGCCAGACCGUUCACGCGCCGCAGCACACAUCUCGUGGCACACUCUCACACUACCAAACCACCACCGUUGUCCCCUCCCCUACACCUCAAAAUAUC
rnacentral:rRNA from 1 species